CCUACGGGUGGCAGCAGUGGGGAAUAUUGCACAAUGGGGGAAACCCUGAUGCAGCGACGCCGCGUGAGUGAAGCAGUAUUUCGGUAUGUAAAGCUCUAUCAGCAGGGAAGAAAUAGCGACCUUUGGGUCGCCAGACGGUACCUGACUAAGAAGCCCCGGCUAACUACGUGCCAGCAGCCGCGGUAAUACGUAGGGGGCAAGCGUUAUCCGGAUUUACUGGGUGUAAAGGGAGCGUAGACGGCAGCACAAGUCUGAAGUGAAAUGCCGGGGCUUAACCCCGGAACUGCUUUGGAACCUGUGCAGUGAGAGUGCAGGAGAGGUAAGUGGAAUUCCUAGUGUAGCGGGGAAAUGCGUAGAUAGUAGGAGGAACACCAGUGGCGAAGGCGGCUUACUGGACUGUAACUGACGUUGAGGCUCGAAAGCGUGGGGAGCAAACAGGAUUAGAUACCCGUGUAGUC
rnacentral:rRNA from 1 species